rnacentral:rRNA from 1 species
UACGUAGGGGCAAGCGUUGUCCGGAAUUAUUGGGCGUAAAGGGCGCGUAGGCGGCUUUGCAAGUGACGGGUGAAAUCCCUCGGCUUAACCGAGGAACUGCCUGUCAAACUGCAUGGCUUGAGACCGGGAGAGGUGAGUGGAAUUCCCAGUGUAGCGGUGAAAUGCGUAGAUAUUGGGAGGAACACCAGUGGCGAAGGCGGCUCACUGGACCGGUACUGACGCUGAUGCGCGAAAGCGUGGGGAGCAAACAGGG